UACGUAGGCAGCGAGCGUUGUUCGGAGUUACUGGGCGUAAAGGGUGUGUAGGCGGUUUUCUAAGUUUGGUGUGAAAUCUCCCGGCUCAACCGGGAGGGUGCGCCGAAAACUGGGAGACUAGAGUGCGGGAUGGGAGAGUAGAAUUCCUGGUGUAGCGGUGAAAUGCGUAGAUAUCAGGAGGAACACCGAUGGCGAAGGCAGUUCUCUGGGCCGUAACUGACGCUGAGGAGCGAAAGCGUGGGGAGCGAACAGG
rnacentral:rRNA from 1 species